UUCGAAUUAGUGUAAUUGGCUCACACAUGAUAUUGCUCUGAUAACUGAGCUAUCAAGCUUGGGGAUCGAAUCCCUGAUUCGAAU